AAGUAAAAAUCGUAACAAGGUCUCCGUUGGUGAACCAGCGGAGGGAUCAUUACAGAGUUGCAAAACUCCCUAAACCAUUGUGAACGUUACCUAUACCGUUGCUUCGGCGGGCGGCCCCGGGGUUUACCCCCCGGGCGCCCCUGGGCCCCACCGCGGGCGCCCGCCGGAGGUCACCAAACUCUUGAUAAUUUAUGGCCUCUCUGAGUCUUCUGUACUGAAUAAGUCAAAACUUUCAACAACGGAUCUCUUGGUUCUGGCAUCGAUGAAGAACGCAGCGAAAUGCGAUAAGUAAUGUGAAUUGCAGAAUUCAGUGAAUCAUCGAAUCUUUGAACGCACAUUGCGCCCGCCAGCAUUCUGGCGGGCAUGCCUGUUCGAGCGUCAUUUCAACCAUCAAGCCCCCGGGCUUGUGUUGGGGACCUGCGGCUGCCGCAGGCCCUGAAAAGCAGUGGCGGGCUCGCUGUCGCACCGAGCGUAGUAGCAUACAUCUCGCUCUGGUCGCGCCGCGGGUUCCGGCCGUUAAACCACCUUUUAACCCAAGGUUGACCUCGGAUCAGGUAGGAAGACCCGCUGAACUUAAGCAUAUCAAAAGCCGGAGGAA
rnacentral:rRNA from 1 species